GAAGAUCAACCGAUCACAUAUCCAUUCCUUACAACUUUCUCGAUUCACCACUUUUUCUGUUACAAGUAACUGUCUUCUUUUAAAAAAACAGAUGCAAUCCAAUACUUAGCAGCUUCAACUAUACAAAGAUGUCACAGUACCCAUAAAUUUGGAAAUCACAGUGGUAUGUCACCCGUGACAGAGGGCAGAGGCACAAAACCAUCUCAUCUGUACUUCGUUUUUUGCUUUGUCUUUAUGAAAAUAUAAGGAAGCUUCCACAUAAAUCCAUCCAUGCUGCUGCUUUUACAACUUUGAAAUCCCUUAUUUAUCAAAGAGACAAGAGAGAAUAAUAAAUCCAAAAAUUUGUGAGCCUACAAUGACCUCACCUUCAACAUCA
rnacentral:lncRNA from 1 species